rnacentral:lncRNA from 1 species
AGAUCACGUUUCACAUCACAUCAGAGCUGUGGAAUUUCCUCUCUUCUAGGGGGAGCCCUGUGAAGAUGAAGUUGGUUUAAGGUUAGUCGGUGAUGAAUAAUAGCCCAAAGGCGACUGAUGGAGGGUGUUACUAAGUGACUGGUGUUUACAAGCAAAGCUUUGGUGGUGGGGUUGGGAGGUGGGAGCGGGAGCCAUCUUCAAUCUGAGUUGUUCACCAAAUUCUGUGACCCGAGAAUGGAGUCCAUGUAUGGAUUUUAUUUGUGUCUGACCUCUGUGGUAUGCAGAGUCCUGAACACUCGGGCUGAGAAGGGGAGCAAAAGAAAUGGGAAGGUAAUUAGAAAAGGCGGGAGAACCUCCAGCGUGGGUAAGGGAUGCAGGGCCCUCCGGGCACAAUCAGUUUCUGCUUUGUGUCUCUGGCGUCCCUGGGGCGGUCCU